UACAGGGGGGGCUAGCGUUACUUAACGUUACUUGGCGUAAAGGGCACGUAGACUAUUUUCGUUAGGUUAGGUCUGAAAGUCUUGUUAGGCAAGAAGAGGGCUUAAAACCAGAAGAUUAGAGUUUAUGAGGGGAUGCUGGAAUUUCCAAUGUAGUGGUGCAAUGCGGCGAUAUUGGAAGGAAUGUUCGAGGUGAACACGAAGCAUCUAGCUUAAACUGACGUUCAGGUGCGAAGGUAUGGGGAUCAAGCGGG
rnacentral:rRNA from 1 species